rnacentral:rRNA from 1 species
UACGUAGGGACCAAGCGUUGUUCGGAUUUACUGGGCGUAAAGGGCUCGUAGGUGGCCAACUAAGUCAGACGUGAAAUCCCUCAGCUUAACUGGGGGAACUGCGUCUGAUACUGGAUGGCUUGAGUUCGGGAGAGGGAUGCGGAAUUCCAGGUGUAGCGGUGAAAUGCGUAGAUAUCUGGAGGAACACCGGUGGCGAAGGCGGCAUCCUGGACCGACACUGACACUGAGGAGCGAAAGCCAGGGGAGCAAACGGG